rnacentral:misc_RNA from 1 species
GAUGAAGAACGCAGCGAAAUGCGAUAAGUAAUGUGAAUUGCAGAAUUCCGUGAAUCAUCGAAUCUUUGAACGCAUAUUGCGCCCUCUGGUAUUCCGGGGGGCAUGCCUGUCCGAGCGUCAUUUCACCACUCAAGCCUCGCUUGGUAUUGGGCAACGCGGUCCGCCGCGUGCCUCAAAUCGACCGGCUGGGUCUUCUGUCCCCUAAGCGUUGUGGAAACUAUUCGCUAAAGGGUGCUCGGGAGGCUACGCCGUAAAACAAACCCAUUUCUAAGGUUGACCUCGGAUCAGGUAGGGAUACCCGCUGAACUUAAGCAUAUCAAUAAGCGGAGGA